rnacentral:tRNA from 15 species
AGGGCGGACGUAGCCAAGUGGAUUAAGGCAGC